GUGGGGAAUUUUGGACAAUGGGCGCAAGCCUGAUCCAGCAAUGCCGCGUGCAGGAAGAAGGCCUUCGGGUUGUAAACUGCUUUUGUACGGAACGAAACGGUCCUGGUUAAUACCUGGGGCUAAUGACGGUACCGUAAGAAUAAGCACCGGCUAACUACGUGCCAGCAGCCGCGGUAAUACGUAGGGUGCGAGCGUUAAUCGGCAUUACUGGGCGUAAAGCGUGCGCAGGCGGUGCUGUAAGACAGGCGUGAAAUACCCGGGCUCAACCUGGGAAUUGCGCUUGUGACUGCAGUGCUGGAGUGCGGCAGAGGGGGAUGGAAUUCCGCGUGUAGCAGUGAAAUGCGUAGAUAUGCGGAGGAACACCGAUGGCGAAGGCAAUCCCCUGGGCCUGCACUGACGCUCAUGCACGAAAGCGUGGGGAGCAAACAGGAUUAGAAACCCGUGUAGUCC
rnacentral:rRNA from 1 species